UGGCUGCCUAAAAUGCAUCCAAACAUUCAGUGUCUCCUCCCUCUGCAUGCAGACACUGAACUUUCCUCAUAGAGAUUCAUUGAUUCAAUUCAUCUCUAUGCAGUGGCGGAUCCAGAGCCUGAUCUCGGGAGGGGCACUUGUAGAUUAUUUAAAGAAAUAAUCCUGACACAAUAACCACUACAGCUCAGUGUAGUGGUUAUGGUGUCAAUAGUGCCGGGACCCCCUCCUAGAGUAAGUAGUCAAACCGUUUAAGAACAGUUUGACAACUUACCUGAGGUCUGCUGGGAAAUGGGGCGGUAGUAGGGCAUAGGAGCAGUGGUGUGUGUGAGUGGUGCAAUGUGUAAGGGGUGCAGUGUGUGUGUGAGGGGGACAGUGUGUGUGAAGGUUGUAGUGUGUGAGUAGGCAGGGCAGUGUAUGUCAGGGAUGCAGUGUAUGUGUGGGACAGUAUGUGUGUGUAACAGUUGCAGUGUGUGUGU